AGCAGUCGCCGCGGGAAUACGAAGGGGGCUAGCGUUGUUCGGAAUUACUGGGCGUAAAGCGCACGUAGGCGGAUAUUUAAGUCAGGGGUGAAAUCCCGCAGCUCAACUGCGGAACUGCCUUUGAUACUGGGUAUCUUGAGUAUGGAAGAGGUUAGUGGAAUUGCGAGUGUAGAGGUGAAAUUCGUAGAUAUUCGCAGGAACACCAGUGGCGAAGGCGGCUAACUGGUCCAUAACUGACGCUGAGGUGCGAAAGCGUGGGGAGCAAACAGGAUUAGAUACCCCAGUAGUCCCUGUCUCUUAUAA
rnacentral:rRNA from 1 species